rnacentral:rRNA from 1 species
UACGGAGGGUGCAAGCGUUAUCCGGAUUCACUGGGUUUAAAGGGUGCGUAGGUGGGCAGGUAAGUCAGUGGUGAAAUCUCCGGGCUUAACCCGGAACUGCCGUUCGAUACUAUUUGUCUUGAAUAUAGUGGAGGUGAGCGGAAUAUGUCAUGUAGCGGUGAAAUGCUUAGAUAAUGACAUAGAACAUCGAUUGCGAAAGCAGCUCGCUACACUGAUUAUUGACACCUGAGCACGAAAGCGUGGGGAUCGAAACAGG